rnacentral:rRNA from 1 species
AACGAACGCUGGCGGCAUGCCUAACACAUGCAAGUCGAACGAGACCUUCGGGUCUAGUGGCGCACGGGGGCGUAACGCGUGGGAACCUGCACUUAGGUUCGGAAUAACUCCCCGAAAGGGGUGCUAAUACCGGAUAGUGUCUUCGGACCAAAGAUUUAUCGCCUUUGGAUGGGCCCGCGUUGGAUUCGCUAGUUGGUAGGGUAAAAGCCUACCAAGGCGACGAUCCAUAGCUGGUCUGAGAGGAUGAUCAGCCACACUGGGACUGAGACACGGCCCAGACUCCUACGGGAGGCAGCAGUGGGGAAUAUUGGACAAUGAGCGAAAGCCUGAUCCAGCAAUGCCGCGUGAGUGAUGAAGGCCUUAGGGUUGUAAAGCUCUUUUACCCGGGAUGAUAAUGACAGUACCGGGAGAAUAAGCUCCGGCUAACUCCGUG